rnacentral:misc_RNA from 1 species
UUAAGUUCAGCGGGUAUCCCUACCUGAUCCGAGGUCAAUCAUAAAAAAAAAUUGGUUGUUGUCCGGCUGGUGUCGCCCGGAAAUCAAAUCAGCGAGAAUAAAAAAGUCACUGCGCUGUGAUUCCGGCCGCACCGCCGCUGUUUUUCGGGCAGGCUUAGCAAGCCAGGACCCAAUACCAAGCAGAGCUUGAGGAUAGAAAU